UGCAGUCGAACGGUAACAGGGCCUUCGGGCGCUGACGAGUGGCGAACGGGUGAGUAAUGCAUCGGAACGUGCCCAGUCGUGGGGGAUAACGCAGCGAAAGCUGUGCUAAUACCGCAUACGAUCUAUGGAUGAAAGCGGGGGACCGUAAGGCCUCGCGCGAUUGGAGCGGCCGAUGUCUGAUUAGGUAGUUGGUGGGGUAAAGGCUCACCAAGCCAACGAUCUGUAGCUGGUCUGAGAGGACGACCAGCCACACUGGGACUGAGACACGGCCCAGACUCCUACGGGAGGCAGCAGUGGGGAAUUUUGGACAAUGGGGGCAACCCUGAUCCAGCAAUGCCGCGUGCGGGAAGAAGGCCUUCGGGUUGUAAACUGCUUUUGUACGGAACGAAACGGUCUUGGCUAAUACCCAGGGCUAAUGACGGUACCGUAAGAAUAAGCACCGGCUAACUACGUGCCAGCAGC
rnacentral:rRNA from 1 species